rnacentral:rRNA from 1 species
CUGCUGCCUUCCGUAGGAGUCUGGACCGUGUCUCAGUUCCAGUGUGGCUGGUCAUCCUCUCAGACCAGCUAGGGAUCGUCGCCUAGGUGAGCCGUUACCCCACCUACUAGCUAAUCCCAUCUGGGCACAUCCGAUGGCAAGAGGCCCGAAGGUCCCCCUCUUUGGUCUUGCGACGUUAUGCGGUAUUAGCUACCGUCUCCAGUAGUUAUCCCCCUCCAUCAGGCAGUUUCCCAGACAUUACUCACCCGUCCG